AAAUCGCGAACCGUUACAGCCUGGACUUCUCGGUGUCUUUCUUUGUUUGUUUGCUCAUCAACAGUAAGAGAAAUAAUGAAGUAACAGUGGAAGCUAAAACAUCAGACUGAUCCAGACACUGAAGAAAUUGAUGUCACUGCAAUCUGGCCAAAAUGAUAGAAAUAUAAUGAAGUAACAGUGGAAGCUAAAACAUCAAACUGAUCCAGACACUGAAGAAAUUGAUGUCACUGCAAUCUGGCCAAAAUGAUACAACUAUAUUGAAGUAGCCUACUGUAAUGAAGCUGCAGAACGUCACAGAGACUCUGAGGACAUCAACACAGAAUAUCAAGGCUCCCAAGAGAUGUCUGUCCAGAUGAGGGUGCAUCAACGUUACCUUUGCUGACAAGUAUAUGCUUUACAAUGUAAAACCUAACAGUUAACUUAACUCAAACCAUUUAAGGAAAUUGGUUGCCUUAAAUCAUUAAGUUUUAAAAAAACAUACAUUUGAGUACUGUGAACUUAAGUCUUGUGCAAUUAUGCACUUAUAUUUAGGUAGUGUGAACUUAAAUAUAAGUGCUUAACUGCAUGUGACUCAAUUUGUUUAAGUUCACAGUACUCAAAUCUAUGUGUUUUAAAACUUGAAUGGUUUAAUGCAACCGGUUUUCUUAAAUGUGAGAAAUUACAGUGUUACAGUGAGAAAUGUUUGAAUAAUUCCAAGACAGAGCUCUGUGAUUGAUUCUACAC